rnacentral:sRNA from 1 species
GAAAGAUCAAAAAAAUACUACGACUCUC